UACAGAGGUCUCAAGCGUUGUUCGGAUUCAUUGGGCGUAAAGGGUGCGUAGGUGGCGGGGUAAGUCAGGUGUGAAAUUUCGGAGCUUAACUCCGAAACUGCAUUUGAUACUGCCCUGCUUGAGGACUGGAGAGGAGACUGGAAUUCACGGUGCAGCAGUGAAAUGCGUAGAUAUCGUGAGGAAGACCAGUGGCGAAGGCGGGUCUCUGGACAGUUCCUGACACUGAGGCACGAAGGCCAGGGGAGCAAACGGG
rnacentral:rRNA from 1 species